rnacentral:rRNA from 1 species
CGAACGCUGGCGGCAGGCUUAACACAUGCAAGUCGAGCGGGCCCUUCGGGGUCAGCGGCAGACGGGUGAGUAACACGUGGGAACGUACCCUUUGGUUCGGAAUAACGCUGGGAAACUAGCGCUAAUACCGGAUACGCCCUUUUGGGGAAAGGCUUGCUGCCGAAGGAUCGGCCCGCGUCUGAUUAGCUAGUUGGUGGGGUAAUGGCCUACCAAGGCGACGAUCAGUAGCUGGUCUGAGAGGAUGAUCAGCCACACUGGGACUGAGACACGGCCCAGACUCCUACGGGAGGCAGCAGUGGGGAAUAUUGGACAAUGGGCGCAAGCCUGAUCCAGCCAUGCCGCGUGAGUGAUGAAGGCCUUAGGGUUGUAAAGCUCUUUUGUCCGGGACGAUAAUGACGGUACCGGAAGAAUAAGCCCCGGCUAACUUCGUG